rfam:Lactobacillus brantae DSM 23927 Scaffold1, whole genome shotgun sequence.
GCGGGUGUGGCGGAACUGGUAGACGCGCAAGAUUAAGGAUCUUGUGGCCAAUUAUGGCCGUGAAGGUUCAAGUCCUUUCACCCGCA